GGGGAAUUUUCCGCAAUGGGCGAAAGCCUGACGGAGCAAGACCGCGUGGGGGAAGAAGGCUCUUGGGUUGUAAACUCCUUUUCUCUGGGAAGAACAAAAUGACGGUACCAGAGGAAUCAGCAUCGGCUAACUCCGUGCCAGCAGCCGCGGUAAGACGGAGGAUGCAAGCGUUAUCCGGAAUGAUUGGGCGUAAAGCGUCCGCAGGUGGCAGUUCAAGUCUGCUGUCAAAGACCGGGGCUUAACCUCGGAAAGGCAGUGGAAACUGAACAGCUAGAGUAUGGUAGGGGCAAAGGGAAUUCCUGGUGUAGCGGUGAAAUGCGUAGAGAUCAGGAAGAACAUCGGUGGCGAAGGCGCUUUGCUGGACCAUAACUGACACUCAGGGACGAAAGCUAGGGGAGCGAAUGGGAUUAGAUACCCCAGUAGUC
rnacentral:rRNA from 1 species